UGCAUGUCCAGAUUUUUAGUGUGGGUUUAGACAACUUCUCCAUGGAAAUAAAAGGCAAUUUGUCAUAUUCAGGCAUUAUCCCUGCAGAAACAGAUCAUGAAAUGGUUUAAUAAAAAUACAAAGUCUGCCAGAGCUACAAGGCCCUGCUGGGAGAAAUUAAUCCUGGGGGGUUGCUGGUUCUGUUUCUGGGAGGAUCAGCUGCUUUGCCCAUUUCUGGCUCAAGAGGUUCUGUGUGCUCUUUCUCUGAUCUUAGCCAGAGGCAAAACUUAGAAAUAGAUCCUUGUUUGCAUUAAGGUUGGUGGUUAAGAAGCUUGUGUCUCUCUCCCGGCAGUGCUUGUGGAAUGGGUUUAUCCCAGGAGCCCUGAAGUCGUCCAGCGCUACGCCCUGCCCGUGCUCUGGUCCUUCCUGGGGAACAAGGCGCUGCCCGUGCGAAGCGCCAAUGUCCGCACUGUGGUCACCAAGCUUGCCUCUGCCCUCUACAAGGUGAUGGGCACCAAGCUGAGGAAGUGUGCUGCCAGCCAGCCUCCACAUGUGCGGGAAAACCUCUCCAGCAUCUUGGGCUGGUGAGGGCCUGAUGCUCUCCAGGAAGAUGACGAAGAGCUGACUCCAACACCUCCGGAUGUGACAUUUUUGCUGUGCCAACAACGACAAAAUACUGAGGAAGGGUUUGCAUCCGCCUCCGCUCUCUCCACUGCCCUUCCUAGUCAAGGCAUGGGGGGCCUGAAACAACUCCGGAUUGAGGACAAGAUGAAGGCUGAGCAGGGCUCAGCCUCACACACAGACCUGAUAGGCUCCUCUCUUACGAAGAAUUUUCUCUGCAUACUUCAUGUGUGCCCACAAAGUCCUCGCCUCCCGUCCAGAAGAGCCCUCUUUCCUCGGAGCUCAGGAAGAACCUUCUGCCUCUCCGAAGAUUGAUUGAAGACUACGUUUAAUGGCUUAGGCUUUAGAGUUAGGGAUGUAGGAUAUAGUA